CCUACGGGUGGCAGCAGUGAGGAAUAUUGGGCAAUGGGCGCAAGCCUGACCCAGCCACGCCGCGUGAAGGAAGAAGGCUUUCGGGUUGUAAACUUCUUUUGUCAGGGAAGAGUAGAAGACGGUACCUGCCGAAUAAGCCACGGCUAACUACGUGCCAGCAGCCGCGGUAAUACGUCGGUGGCAAGCGUUGUCCGGAUUUACUGGGUGUACAGGGCGUGUAGCCGGGUUGACAAGUCAGAGUUGAAAUCCUGCGGCUUAACCGAAGAACUGCAUUUGAAACUGUUGAGCUGGAGUACUGGAGAGGCAGACGGAAUGCCUAGUGUAGCGGUGAAAUGCGUAGAUAUUAGGAGGAACACCAGUGGCGAAGGCGGUCUGCUGGACAGCAACUGACGGUGAGGCGCGAAAGCGUGGGGAGCAAACAGGAUUAGAUACCCCAGUAGUC
rnacentral:rRNA from 1 species